UGGGGGAUCGUCUAAUGGUAGGACACAAGGUUUUGGUCCUUGGUAUUGGGGUUCGAGUCCCUAUCCCCCAG
rnacentral:tRNA from 1 species